GACGAACGCUGGCGGCGUGCCUAAUACAUGCAAGUCGAGCGAAGCGGCGGUUGGGUGAGUAACGCGUGGGUAACCUGGCCUUAAGUCUGGGAUAGCAUUUGAUAACAGAUGCUCCUACCGGAUACUUAAGGAGUGAGCUGUGAUGCAUUAGCUAGUUGGUAAGGUACGGGCUUACCAAGGCGAUGAUGCAUAGCCGGGUUGAGAGGCUGAUCGGCCACAUUGGGACUGAGACACGGCCCAAACUCCUACGGGAGGCAGCAGUAGGGAAUCUUCCACAAUGGACGAAAGUCUGAUGGAGCAACGCCGCGUGAGUGAAGAAGGUUUUCGGAUCGUAAAGCUCUGUUGUUGGUGAAGCGGUAAUCAACCAGAAAGUCACGGCUAACUACGUGCCAGCAGCCGCGGUAAUUC
rnacentral:rRNA from 1 species